rnacentral:rRNA from 1 species
GAGUCGAGUUGUUUGGGAAUGCAGCUCUAAGUGGGUGGUAAAUUUCAUCUAAAGCUAAAUAUUGGCCGGAGACCGAUAGCGCACAAGUAGAGUGAUCGAAAGGUUAAAAGCACCUUGAAAAGGGAGUUAAAUAGCACGUGAAAUUGUUGAAAGGGAAGCGCUUGCAACCAGACUCGGUUCCGGGGGCUCAGCGGGCAUGCGUGCCCGUGUACUCCCCCGUCUCCGGGCCAGCAUCAGUUCGAGCGGCCGGUCAAAGGCCCCGGGAACGUAUCAUCCUCCGGGAUGCCUUAUAGCCCGGGGUGCAAUGCGGCCAGCUCGGACUGAGGAACGCGCCUCGGCACGGAUGCUGGCAUAAUGGUUGUAAGCGGCCCGUCUUGAAACACGGACC